AUGCACCAACAAAGACAUGAUCUAAAACAAUGCAGACAUUAAACAAACGGUUAAACCUAAACUUAGAAUAGAUUACUCUAGCGCUAGUACAUUUUACUAGCUGCCACAGUAUAUAAAUAAAAAAGUAGGGACUGAAGUAUUAGAGCCAGCGGCAAAAUGAAAGUAAAACUAUGAAUUACGACAUUCUAGGAAUAGAGAGAUUUGGUAUUUAUAAAUGAUCUCGUUAAAUCAUUUAAGUCAAUAGUUUAAACUACAUUUGUAAAAAACAAUAUGAGUUAAAUAUCAAAGUUUAAAAUAUGAAUUGAACCACAAGGUCAUGAACAUGGUUUACGUCUCAAUGGAGUAUUAUAAUGCGAUCCUCAUUAACUAUACUGUAAAAAUAUAUAACCAGUCAUUCGCUUUUUUGCAAAUAACAUGCAGAACAUUAUACUACAAGGACGAAUAUCUAAUUUCUUAAACUAUUUUGAUCAAAUAAAGCAGACAUUUAGAUGAGUAUGGAUGUUUAUGAGAAUAGCAUAUCAAAAAUUCAAAACUAUUAAGCAAAGGUGUCAUUGUUUCAUUUUACUACCACGCGCACUUUCUAAAACGAUGCAAAAUUUGUGUGAUGUAACAUUUUUAAGAAUACAGAGCUGUAAAUGUGUUACUUAUAAUGGGAAAUGGCUACAUAUUAUAUACAUAUGAAAUUAUGAAAUAUUUUUUAUGAUAGGUUAUGACAACGAGGCUAUUUUGUUUUAUUAUCAUUUUCUCUUCUAAUAAUGUUUACGCUAGUUUGUAAAUUCUGGACAUUUAAGAGGAUUUUUGUGACUUUUCAAAAAUGGAUGAAAGCCUAAAAGUCCUAAAAUCAGUGAAUUUAUAUUUUAGCAAAAGUUGACUUUGCUGAAAUUGUAAAAGGUAUAAACAAUAUAUUUUGUACGAGUGUAUCAAAUUUCGAGAAAAAAAAUUAGUAGUUUUUAGGACAUGGGCAAAAUAAAAAUGGCUUGUUAUCUGUUUCGCUCAGUAAAGUUUGCUCAACCGAUUGUUCCCGAACAAAACGUUUGUAAAUAUCAUAUAUUACACCAGGUGUCAAUAUAUUCCUGUUCUCAAUGUUUGUAAAAGGACGUUAUUCAUUUACAUGAACUUCAACUCAGUUUGACAAUGGAAGUACCUGGAAAAAGAGCUGACGAAGAAAAAGAUUCAUCUUCUUGGCAAACGGAGAAACUCUGUGAACCGUGCAACAGUGAACAUGCCACGACUCGUGCGAACGGUGUAUGCCAGGAGUGUAGGGAAUUUAUGUGCAACUCUUGCUUUCGACAUCAUCUAAAAGCGAAGCAAUGUAGAAAUCAUGUUUUAGUUGAUGAAAACAUUUCUGAAGUUUUGUUGAAGAAAAGUGAAGAAAUCAUCGAGAAGUGCAAACGUCAUGAGGAUGAGACGGUAAAAUACUACUGCCGUAAGCAUGAAUUUGUAGGAUGUGGUGAUUGUAUGAUACUCGAACACAGUGUUUGUAAACCCAAAUUCAUAAAGGAUCUGUCUAAAGAUUUUCAAGACAACGAAGACUUCAAAGAAUUGGUUAGAAAGCUUGAGAAAUUGGCAUCUGCAAACCAAGAAAAAGAAGAGAAUAAAAGAAAAUAAGAGAGAAAUCAGAUUGAUGUACGAAACUGCACUGAAAGAAAUAAAUACGUUUAGAACAAGGCUGAAGAUGAUGUUAAGACUGAGGUAAAUCGUUUAAAAUCUGACGAUGAAGACCUUUUGAUCAAGUUAGAAGAAUGCAAGCGUCUUUCAACAAAAAUAGACGCAGUUAAACAAGCGAUAAACACAGAAAUGUACCAAGGACAGUCGUUGUUUAUCCGCUCUGUUGAGUGCAAGCCUAAUAUUCUUGAUAUCGAACGUGACAUGGCCCAGCUGCGAUCAAAAAAAAGUAUAAAGAAAUUCACUUUCGUACGUGACAAAAAGCUGUUAACCUUUGUUGCUUCUAAAAUAAAAUUUGGAGAUUUGGACAUAAGAAAAAAUGGAAAGAUCAUUUAAAAGCCAAACGAUUCAGAAUUGAUGUCAAUUGCACGUGUACGUCCUUUAUGGAACUGCAAGUAUGGCAAAUCGUCUUAUCACUGUUGGAAGCCUGGUACAGUGAUAGCUGUAAAUGGCAAUGGUGAUCUCACGGUAGAAUGGGACCGUUCAUGACAGAUACUUGGAGGUUUCAGAUUUGGUUACUCAACCGAGGAAAAUGGUGUCGAACUUAUAUGAACAUUUUAAAAUAUGGAAUUGAAUUAAUCAAAGAACAAUUGUUAUUGAAGAAUUAAUCUGUGGUAUUUUAGAAGAUAGUUAUGUCACGGUGGAAUGGAGUCAUUCAGAGCAGAUAUUGGGAGGUUUCAGAGAAUGUUACUAAGAAGAAUAAUAGCAGACU
rnacentral:lncRNA from 1 species